rnacentral:rRNA from 1 species
GAUGAACGCUGGCGGCGUGCCUAAUACAUGCAAGUCGAGCGAAUGGAUUAAGAGCUUGCUCUUAUGAAGUUAGCGGCGGACGGGUGAGUAACACGUGGGUAACCUGCCCAUAAGACUGGGAUAACUCCGGGAAACCGGGGCUAAUACCGGAUAACAUUUUGAACCGCAUGGUUCGAAAUUGAAAGGCGGCUUCGGCUGUCACUUAUGGAUGGACCCGCGGCGCAUUAGCUAGUUGGUGAGGUAACGGCUCACCAAGGCAACGAUGCGUAGCCGACCUGAGGGGGUGAUCGGCGACUGUGGGACUGAGCAACGGCCCAGACUCCUACGGGAGGCAGCAGUAGGGAAUCUUCCGCAAUGGACGAAAGUAUGACGGAGCAACGCCGCGUGAGUGAUGAAGGCUUUCGGGUCGUAAAACUCUGUUGUUAGGGAAGAACAAGUGCUAGUUGAAUAAGCUGGCACCUUGACGGUACCUAACCAGAAAGCCACGGCUAACUACGUGCCAGCCACCGCGGUAA